rnacentral:rRNA from 1 species
UACGUAGGGUGCAAGCGUUGUCCGGAAUUAUUGGGCGUAAAGAGCUCGUAGGCGGUUCGUCGCGUCGGCUGUGAAAUCCCGGAGCUCAACUCCGGGUCUGCAGUCGAUACGGGCGGACUUGAGUACUGCAGGGGAGACUGGAAUUCCUGGUGUAGCGGUGAAAUGCGCAGAUAUCAGGAGGAACACCGGUGGCGAAGGCGGGUCUCUGGGCAGUAACUGACGCUGAGGAGCGGAAGCGUGGGGAGCGAACAGG